rnacentral:rRNA from 1 species
GACGAACGCUGGCGGCGUGCCUAAUACAUGCAAGUCGAACGCAGUGGGGACGGGUGAGUAACACGUGGGUAACCUCCCAUCAGAGGGGAUAACACUUGGCAACAGGUGCUAAACCGAUACGGCUGGAUGGACCCGCGGUGCAUUAGCUAGUUGGGGAGGUAACGGCUCACCACGGCAACGUGGCCUAGCCGACCUGAGGGGGUGAUCUGCCACACUGGGACUGAGACACGGCCCAGACUCCUACGGGAGGCAGCAGUAGGGAAUCUUGGGCAAUGGACGAAAGUCUGACCGAGCAACGCCGCGUGAGUGAAGAAGGUGUUCGGAUCGUAAAACUCUGUGGUUAGAGAAGCGUUACCUAACCAGAAAGCCACGGCUAACUACGUGCCAGCAGCCGCGGUAAUAC